CGGUCAAUUUGACUAUGUUAGUGGUCACAGCACCACGUGGUGUAGAGUAUCAGUUUUCACGCGCACUCUUUCGCGUUCCCUUUGUUCUCUAGAUCGUGUAGAUGUAAACAAACCAGGAGGCAUGAAACUGUCAUUUUGUCAAUUAAACCAAUUGUUUAAACAAAUGAAGACAUUGCUAUAUUUGUAUGAACACAGCUGAGAGAUUUUUUACCAGAGAGAAUAUUACACUGACACAUGCAGAGUUGAUACCGACAAAAUAUCUAAAAUAAACACUUCAAAUUCUGACAUACUGAAAAUGUAUAAAAUAUAUAUUGAAGUUGGGAUAUAAUAAUGUAUGUAACAAUGAGUUUAUAAUAAAUAUAUUUUCUUUA